AUUGAACGCUGGCGGCAGGCCUAACACAUGCAAGUCGAGCGGAGCGGCGGACGGGUGAGUAAUACCUAGGAAUCUGCCUUGUAGUGGGGGAUACCGUUCGGAAACGGACGCUAAUCCCGCAUACUCUUCGAUCAGCCUAGGUCGGAUUAGCUAGUUGGUGAGGUAAUGGCUCACCCAGGCUCCGAUCCGUAACUGGUCUGAGAGGAUGAUCAGUCACACUGGAACUGAGACACGGUCCAGACUCCUACGGGAGGAAGCAGUGGGGAAUAUUGGACAAUUGGCGAAAGCCUGAUCCAGCCAUGCCGCGUGUGUGAAGAAGGUCUUCGGAUUGUAAAGCACUUUAAGUUGGGAGGCGUUACCGACAGAAUAAGCACCGGCUAACUCUGUGCCAGCAGCCGCGGUAAUUC
rnacentral:rRNA from 1 species